rnacentral:lncRNA from 1 species
AGGAAUACUAAAUGAAGAGUUCAAUCAUGAAUCAGAUCUCUUCUUUUGCUUGCCAGUAACACAAGCCAUUUUUAUUUUCCAUUUCAGGUUUCUUUUACAGUAGAGGACAAAAAUAAAUUAUGAGUGAAAAGAAGUUAAAAUUGUUCCUCUUGAGCAACUCUCCUGCAUCAACGCUUAAUCCUUCCAGUGGACUAGAAGAAAUAAAGAAGACAGGAUGCCAUUGCAGGAAGAUAUUACAAUGCAAGAGGUUGCCUCCAUCUCACUGCUGCUGAACUUCCUACGUCUUGUCCCCAACGUGUUGUCCUUUGAGUCACAGAUGGAAGGCUGGGCUGCUAAACUGCAGGAACCCUGGACUUCCACACAGAAAUGUUGCAGCCAAAUAUAGAUGAUCGAUUCCAGAGCACGUUGGCAACCUUCUGAUGUUAUUUCUGGAUUUGGAGAAGUAUUAUUUCCCACAGGCACUUACAUAGCUGGAUGUUGAUCACGUUUUAGUUGGCUAAUAACAGUUUUGCACUGCUUUGUGUCCCUCACACAGCCCUGGUGACAGGCAGAGGUUUUUUUCCAAGAGUUGGGGCAGUUAAUUGUGUAUAAUUUGUGCAAGUUGUACACUGUAUUUUUUCUAGGAGCACUGUUUAGUAUUUCUUAUAUUGCUGAAUUGUGUUCAGCAGUAAUAAUAUUGUAUGAUUGCAAUACUCCAAUAAUAAGUAAAAAGGAGUUCUUUACUAAAUCCCACCACAUGCUGUAGUAGUUUUCUAACUUCAGUUUGCAUUCUACCUCCUAAAACCCAGACUGACUGAACCCUACCUCUGCCAGCUCUUCCUUGCACAUACUGGCACAUAGAGCAAAUGAUAGGAUCUUCCAUUUAAAUCUUCAGUGAAGAUUUUUAAUUAAAAGAGCUGUAUAAUAUUACAAUUCACAGGCUAGAUUGAUUUUAUGAUUUUUUUUUAUUUUUU